AUUGAACGCUGGCGGCAGGCCUAACACAUGCAAGUCGAACGGUAGCACAGAGAGCUUGCUCUCGGGUGACGAGUGGCGGACGGGUGAGUAAUGUCUGGGAAACUGCCCGAUGGAGGGGGAUAACUACUGGAAACGGUAGCUAAUACCGCAUAACGUCGCAAGACCAAAGAGGGGGACCUUCGGGCCUCUUGCCAUCGGAUGUGCCCAGCUGGGAUUAGCUAGUAGGUGGGGUAACGGCUCACCUAGGCGACGAUCCCUAGCUGGUCUGAGAGGAUGACCAGCCACACUGGAACUGAGACACGGUCCAGACUCCUACGGGAGGCAGCAGUGGGGAAUAUUGCACAAUGGGCGCAAGCCUGAUGCAGCCAUGCCGCGUGUAUGAAGAAGGCCUUCGGGUUGUAAAGUACUUUCAGCGGGGAGGAAGGUGUUGAGGUUAAUAACCUCAGCAAUUGACGUUACCCGCAGAAGAAGCACCGGCUAACUCCGUGCCAGCCGCCGCCGUAA
rnacentral:rRNA from 1 species